rnacentral:rRNA from 1 species
UACGUAGGGGGGCUAGCGUUGUCCGGAUUUAUUGGGCGUAAAGAGCGUGUAGGCGGCCAGGUAGGUCUGCUGUGAAAACUCGAGGCUUAACCUCGAGAUGUCGGCGGAAACCAUCUGGCUAGAGUCCGGAAGAGGAGAGUGGAAUUCCUGGUGUAGCGGUGAAAUGCGCAGAUAUCAGGAGGAACACCAAUUGCGAAGGCAGCUCGCUGGGACGUUACUGACGCUGAGACGCGAAAGCGUGGGGAGCAAACAGG